UACGUAGGGGGCAAGCGUUGUCCGGAAUCAUUGGGCGUAAAGAGCGUGUAGGCGGCCCGAUAAGUCCGCCGUGAAAGUCCAGGGCUCAACCCUGGAAUGCCGGUGGAAACUGUCGGGCUCGAGUCCGGAAGAGGCGAGUGGAAUUCCUGGUGUAGCGGUGAAAUGCGCAGAUAUCAGGAGGAACACCGAUGGCGAAGGCAGUUCUCUGGGACGGUACUGACGCUGAGACGCGAAAGCGUGGGGAGCGAACAGG
rnacentral:rRNA from 1 species